UACAGAGGUCCCGAGCGUUGUUCGGAUUCACUGGGCGUAAAGGGUGCGUAGGUGGCCAUGAAAGUUCGAUGUGAAAUCUCCGGGCUUAACCCGGAAAAGGCAUUGAAAACUCUGUGGCUGGAGGUUUGGAGGGGGGACUGGAAUUCUCGGUGUAGCAGUGAAAUGCGUAGAUAUCGAGAGGAACACCAGUGGCGAAGGCGGGUCCCUGGACAACACCUAACACUGAGGCACGAAAGCUAGGGGAGCAAACAGG
rnacentral:rRNA from 1 species